AUACAGAGGGUGCAAGCGUUAAUCGGAUUUACUGGGCGUAAAGCGCGCGUAGGUGGCUAAUUAAGUCAAAUGUGAAAUCCCCGAGCUUAACUUGGGAAUUGCAUUCGAUACUGGUUAGCUAGAGUAUGGGAGAGGAUGGUAGAAUUCCAGGUGUAGCGGUGAAAGGCGUAGAGAUCUGGAGGAAUAACGAUGGCGAAGGCAGCCAUCUGGCCUAAUACUGACACUGAGGUGCGAAAGCAUGGGGAGCAAACAGGAUUAGAUACCCUGGUAGUCCAUGCCGUAAACGAUGUCUACUAGCCGUUGGGGCCCUUGAGGCUUUAGUGGCGCAGCUAACGCGAUAAGUAGACCGCCUGGGGAGUACGGUCGCAAGACUAAAACUCAAAUGAAUUGACGGGG
rnacentral:rRNA from 1 species